GUAUUUGCCGCUGGAAAGCUUCUUAUAGGAAGACCCAUCAACAUCAAGGCCUUGUAUCAGAAGAUCAUCCAUCCUUCUCUUCCUGUAUCGUGCUUCUGUUGUCUAACUGUCCAAACACACUAAUUUUCUUUGCUUGGCAUUUUUCUGGGAUUUUCCAUGUCGUUUUGCUUUUCUGUUGUUGAAACAAAAUUGGGUUCAAGGUGUGGCCCACUAGGCCUCAUCUCAGGAAUUGGGAAAAUGUUUAGCAACGGAUAGGAAUGGCAAUGGCGU
rnacentral:misc_RNA from 1 species